rnacentral:rRNA from 1 species
CAAAGGCUUGGUCCUGACUUUACUAUCAACUCUAGCUAAACUUACACAUGCAAGUAUCCGCAUCCCCGUGAGAAUGCCCUACAGUUCCCUGCCCGGGAACAAGGAGCUGGUAUCAGGCACACUUCGACUAGCCCAUGACACCUUGCUUAGCCACACCCCCAAGGGAACUCAGCAGUGAUAGACAUUAAGCCAUAAGUGAAAACUUGACUUAGUCAAAGCUAAGAGGGCCGGUAAAACUCGUGCCAGCCACCGCGGUUAUACGAGAGGCCCAAGUUGAUAGACAUCGGCGUAAAGCGUGGUUAAGAUUAAAGACAAUACUAAAGCCGAACACCUUCAGAGCUGUUAUACGCAUCCGAAGGUAAGAAGUUCAACCACGAAAGUGGCUUUAUAGCAC